UACGUAGGGACCAAGCGUUGUCCGGAAUUAUUGGGCGUAAAGAGCUCGUAGGCGGCUGUCCACGUCGGGUGUGAAAGCUCAGGGCUCAACCCUGAGACGCCAUUCGAUACGGGACGGCUAGAGGUAGGUAGGGGAGACUGGAAUUCCUGGUGUAGCGGUGAAAUGCGCAGAUAUCAGGAGGAACACCGGUGGCGAAGGCGGGUCUCUGGGCCGAUACUGACGCUGAGGAGCGAAAGCGUGGGGAGCGAACAGG
rnacentral:rRNA from 1 species